AAUAACCUCUCUGAAUAUGUUAUGCACGUGGAAGACAACAGAAAUGGAUCAGAUCAACAUCAAGAUGUCACAUACUCUCUUAUUGACCUUAAAAACCUUCAAAAGAAGAGGAAGCAUCAUGAACCAGAGCAGAGUGCUGUUUACUCUGAGGUGA